AAGAGAAAGAGAGGAAAGAUUCCCACUUUGGCUUCUCCUCUUCUUCUUCCAUACCUUUUAACUUCCUCUCCCUGUACUGUCGGCCUUUGUUGGUUUCUAAGCCGCCAUACAAAGAAAUAUUCAGUUGUUCUCUGAGAGAAAGAGAAGUAUAAGUUUUUGUUUCAUUAGAGAGAGAGUGCAAAAACAUGAAUGAGAAGGCUAAUGUUUCGAAAGAACUUAAUGCAAAGCACAGAAAGAUACUGGAAAGCCUCCUUAAAUUACCGGAGAAUCGAGAGUGCGCUGACUGCAAAAGCAAAGGGCCUAGAUGGGCUAGUGUGAAUCUAGGAAUCUUCAUAUGCAUGCAGUGUUCAGGUAUCCACAGGAGUCUUGGAGUACAUAUAUCAAAGGUUAGAUCAGCCACUUUAGACACAUGGCUUCCAGAGCAGAUUGCAUUUGUCCAAUCUACGGGGAAUGAGAGAUCAAAUAACUACUGGGAAGCAGAGUUGCCUCCUAAUUAUGACAGAGUUGGCAUCGAGAAUUUCAUUCGAGCAAAAUAUGAAGAGAAGAGAUGGGUUCCAAGGGAUGGAAAAGCCAAAUCACCUUUGAGGGUGAGUGGAGAGCGGACCUCAAUUUAUAGACCAGAACCAAGAAGUAGUGGGCAUGGCCGAGUGAAUGACACUAACCAUGGUUCUGAGGAGAGAAGAAUUACUCGUCCACCCAUUACAAAUGACAGUAAUCCUGCUUUGAGAAGCUCCACUCCGGCUCCUAUUAAAGCUUCCACACCACUGCCUGUUAAAGCAUCCACUCCAAUGCCUGUUAAAGCAUCUCAACCGGCGGCACGUGAUACCAAACCACAAGAACCUGUACGGAAGUCAGCACCAGCAGCCCCAAAAGUUGAAUUAGAAAAGAAGGAAGAAAGUGCAACUAAAGUUGUAACACCGCCAAAAGUUGAUUAUGCAACUGAACUUUUUAAUUUGCUUUGCAUGGAUGAUUCUAGGGAGAGUAAUUCCACGACUCCUGCUCAUGAUAUUGGAUGGACCGGUUUAAAAGCUGCUGAAGUAAAAUCAACACCAGAGAGAAGUGUUACAUCAAAUUUUAUUGAAAGCAUGACACAACCAAACUCAACUUCACCUCCUUUAGAGAAACCCCUAAAGGAUUCAAAUAAUGAUCCUAUGAACCUCUUCAACAAGUCCAGUAUGGUUUCUCCAUUUUCCGUCCAUCAACAGCAACUUUCAAUGUUAUCCCAACAACAACAAUUCCACAUGACUGCUGCAGCAAGGACUGGUGGUGGAUCCCAAACUGUUCCUGCCAAUGCACAUAGACCCAGUUCCAAUGGUAUUCACUUACCUGCUCAGAGUUGGGGAAGCUAUGGCUAUCAAGUUCCUGGGAUGGUGAUGCCAAGCACUUAUCCACAGACAUAUAUUCAGAUGGGAAGCAGCCAACAAACCUAUUCAGCAGGGAAUUCAAUUAAUUUUCCAAUAUCAAGGCAACACUGAGAGUGGUCAAAACCUGAAGCAAAACAAUCAUGUUGCCACAGAAUGAGGGUUAUGCCCUCCGGUUGAAGUAUCAGUGGCCCCAUCUUUCAUGGCUAACAGAUUGGAGAAGAAACACAACCUAUUUCCCAGCAUGCAGUCCAGAAUAAAGUUCGGAUUUGGUUACGAAGCAUGCAAUGCAUUCCAUUGACCAUCAUAGCAUUAAAAUGUGGCUGUAAAGUUACCUUUCGCAAGUAGCCUGAUGAAACUGGAAAGUCUUGAAAAACCUAUCGUUGUAGCACUUAUAGGCCAGGGCCAGUAGCUCCUAUCAAUGGCAUGACAAACUCUAAUCCAACUAUGCCUCCUCCAGCAUUCCCUGUUGCUCCAACUC